rnacentral:rRNA from 1 species
UUAAAAGCUCCGGCGGUGAAGGAUGAGCCCGCGGCCUAUCAGCUUGUUGGUGGGGUAAUGGCCUACCAAGGCGACGACGGGUAGCCGGCCUGAGAGGGCGACCGGCCACACUGGGAUUGAGACACGGCCCAGACUCCUACGGGAGGCAGCAGUGGGGAAUAUUGCACAAUGGGCGAAAGCCUGAUGCAGCGACGCCGCGUGAGGGAUGACGGCCUUCGGGUUGUAAACCUCUUUCAGCAGGGAAGAAGCGAAAGUGACGGUACCUGCAGAAGAAGCGCCGGCUAACUACGUGCCAGCAGCCGCGGUAAUACGUAGGGCGCAAGCGUUGUCCGGAAUUAUUGGGCGUAAAGAGCUCGUAGGCGGCUUGUCACGUCGGAUGUGAAAGCCCGGGGCUUAACCCCGGGUCUGCAUUCGAUACGGGCUAGCUAGAGUGUGGUAGGGGAGAUCGGAAUUCCUGGUGUAGCGGUGAAAUGCGCAGAUAUCAGGAGGAACACCGGUGGCGAAGGCGGAUCUCUGGGCCAUUACUGACGCUGAGGAGCGAAAGCGUGGGGAGCGAACAGGAUUAGAUACCCUGGUAGUCCACGCCGUAAACGUUGGGAACUAGGUGUUGGCGACAUUCCACGUCGUCGGUGCCGCAGCUAACGCAUU